UGAAACGAAAUGUCUUACCUAGAAGUGGUACAGUAAAAAAUUUGUAUAAUUCAUAUUUCGCUAUGUAUUGUGUAAAAAAAACGUUACCUAACUCAAGUUGAUUGUCCAUUUAAAGCAUUUUUAGAUUUAAUUAAACGUGUAUAUCAAUUAAAUAAAGUAGUUUCAACACCCGCCAAAUUGAAGGCCAAUGUCGCUGAAAACAAACAAUCACGAGACGUCGCUCCCGCUGUACAAACGGAUUCGUCACCUCCACCCGUGCCUCGUCCACAAAUUCCCCUUGUUCAGUCAUCUCGGAAAACAACCGUCCCGCCAAGAAAAAAAAAAAAAAUCCUCUACCCAGAAGAUUUUAACGACUCGGAUUUCUCUUAUUAAGUUCUAUAUUUCUGGGGGGGUAGGGGCCGGCCAAUCAUUGGACGACUAGCAACAUCUCCAAGCUAGGCCAGGGGGUCCACGGAAAACCACCCCAGCUGAGGAUGACACCAUUAUCAGGGCAGCUCGAGAGCAACCCUUAACCAACGCCGAGGCCAUUCGUGAAGACCUUGGAUUAGAAGUGUCAUCGAUGACAGUUCGACGGAGACUCCACGCUGCUGGGAUUCAUCGCAGAACUCCAGCGACGAAGGAGCUCUUGACGGAGCGACAUAAGGCGGGAAAGGCUUGAUUUUGCCCAACGUCAUGCUAAUAAGGGUUUGGACUUUUGGGGCCGGGUCAUCUUUACUGACGAGAAGUGCUUCUCGUCCACAUCGCAUGGGAAGCUGCAUUGUUGGCGAACAAAUAGAACUCGAUAUGAACCCCGUAACUUCGUUGAGGUGGUUUGAUCCGGUCAUGUCACCUGCAACGUAUGGGGCUGGGUGUGUCUGCAUGGUAUGGGUGAUGUGUUCCGUAUCGAGGGACGAUUUACAGCAACUAAGUAUGUUAAGCUGCUGCAAACCUCCUUCUUGCCUUCGUUACGAGAAAGGAAUUUUCCCUUCCCACCAGGGCCCAUCCUGUUCAUGCACGACCGGAGUCCCAUUCACACUGCUCGUGCUGUUCAAGAGUGGUUUGCCGGACAGGAUAACCUGCUUCUUCUUGAAUGGCCGAGCAAAGGAGCAGAUAUGAAUGUGAUUGAACACGUGUGGGCCCAGAUAGUGAACACAUGGAAAAUGGAACAUGAGAAACCAACACAGCAACUCGUGGCUCACAUCAACUCUCAGUGGGAAAUUUGUAGACGGAGACCGCAGCAAAUUUUCAACCUUGUUCAUUUGAUGCCCGACAGAUUAAGGGAAGUGACUGAGAGAGAGGGUGGAUGGUCAAGGUAUUAGAUUGUAUAAUAUAAAUGUUAUAUUUUUUGUAA